AGACAGUUCGCGGGUCGGGUCAUGGGCCGCAAUUUAUUUUUCACGGGUACCCGGAUACCCGAUAAUAAACUAGAAAACAAAAAAUCCGCCCUCAGCUGAGCCCAGCCCACUUACUCACCAAGCCACUUAGGGUUUAAUUCUCACUCCCUCAAAAAAUAACGCAGCUACUCACUUCCUUUUUCCUCUUAGGGUUCAAUCACACUUUCAAACCUUUUUCCUCUUUCUAUCUCUCCUUCUCUCUCUCAUUCACUGAGAGAAAGUCUUACACCCAUUCCAAAUAGGUGCAUUAACAACCAACAUCAAGAGAAUAACGCACAACUUGUGAGAGGAAGCCUUCAACAAGUGAAUCGAACCGCGGCGGCCGAGAGAUCUCCGAUUGCAGCGGCUGAGAGUCCUACACGUGUCGCUGUAUACUUAUCAUGGGCUCGACAAUCCAUAAAACUAGCUGAGGGAGAUCUGGGAAUAGGGACAAUGAACCCAACCUUGAUGGGAUGUGUAGCUGGCUCUGCUUUACUGCGGAAAGCUGCAUCCAUAGCAUUUCAGAAUAAAAAGCGGGCAACUCUUACGAGCGAUAUAAUUGAGUUUUUGGGGAUAAGUUUGGAAGAUAUCUGUCCAAUCUAGUAAUUUUGCAACUUGUUUAAUGUUGGUGCUUCCAGGCUUCAUGACCCUUUACAAGAACAUAUUGACGUGAGAAGUAAGUUGUUGCUUACUUCUCUUCCCGUUUCAUGUAGAUUGUAAAAUUACUGUUGCUAGUUGCUACUUAAAGUUGAGGUCUAGAUUUGGUGUGUGGCAAGCUCAAUGUACUCUUAUAAAUUUGUCCAGCUCUGACGUGGUCAAAUAUCUAAAUGUGCUUACAUGCUAAAAUAAGGUCAUGGAGUUCAUAAGAAAAGGGACAUUACAUUUGUUAUCCCUACCAGGCUACCAGAUUACAUUUAAUGGACUCCGUUUGAUACAAAUUUAAUUUGGUUUCCGGUGAUGACGUGUAUGAUUUCAUGGAUUCGGCUUGGAACCUAAAGUAUUGCUAAAGUAUGCACCAGGAUACUGACCCGUUCUCUGAGUUGCAAGGUUUAUGAUGCUGAAAUAUUGCAUUUGAGUCUGAGAUUAUUGUUUAA